CCGACCAAACAAUAGAAAACUAUUUGUUUAAGACUUCCGCAUAUCUAUAUAACAUGUUUCACGACUCAAAAGUAAACCAAGAUUGAAAAGAUUCAAUCUUGGUUUAUGUUUUCAAUCUUGGUUUAUGACUAUACCUUACAUCCAAGGCCCCUUACCUCAAAAUGAUCAACAAAACAUACCUCUUUUAUAUUCCUUCUACUGCAAGUCAACAUGAGUUCAAUUGUUUGCAUUACAUUCUUGUUGAUUAGUUUUAAGCUACCAACAGUUACCUUGUAUAUUACUUUUGAGCUCUUGUUUUCAAAUUCUUUUGGUUCUCAUGACUUCAGCUUUCAAAGCAGUUUUGACAGUCUUAAGUUGCAACACUUUGCUUAUAAUCACCGCUAACAAUUCACUUCCAUAGUUCACAACAAUUGCCAGAACCACUUUGCCAAUUUGCCAAUUUUCCAUGCUUACUGGCACUUACUUCAAACAUUUUUUUCCAAAACAACACCAAAUUUUAACUUUUUGCUAAUAAUAUUCCCAUAAAUAAUUAAAUAUCAUUAGAUUGUACUCAUGAAUAUCUUAUAUCUGAUUCAAGAAUCAUAAUUAGAGAGAGUAUAUACAAAUCUAAUCAAGCUUUUAGUGGUAUAGAACACACACACACACACACAUAUAUAUAUAUAUAUAUAUAUAUAUAUAUAUUACCUGGAACAGUUUGAUAACCAUGAGAAUAGUAAUGGGCAUUUCCAGGUACACCUGGAGGAGGCAUUGGUUGGGGAAAACCAAUUACCGGCUGAGGCGGUGGCGGAGAUUGAGAGUUGAUUACCCCCUGAAAAGUCCCGUAGUAAUACGGCGACGACGGCGGAGGCGGCGGAGCCGACGGCUGCUCACUGGGUCCGCCGUACGACGCGACGCCUCUGUUCUUCCCUUCUUCGCCCAUCUCUCCGAUCGAGGGAUUAGGGUUUCGGAUCAACGUCGUUGAGUUCGGAUUCUCCUCCGUUUCUUCCUCGUAACCGAUUUGGGAUUUGGUUUUAAAAAUGUUUCUGUUUGAUUUUGUUUCGAUAAAUGGUUAUGGCGGUGUCUCCGCGGGUUUGCUUUGCUGUUAAAUUUGACCCGUACGGCAACUGGAUAUGUAUUCACAAUUUAGAUUUUCUUUUAAUUAAUUAAUUAUUAUAAUUUUAGAGAGAGCAUAAGAAGAUUAU
rnacentral:lncRNA from 1 species